rnacentral:rRNA from 1 species
CAAUCGCCGCGGGAAUACGAAGGGUGCAAGCGUUACUCGGAAUUACUGGGCGUAAAGCGUGCGUAGGUGGUGGUUUAAGUCCGUUGUGAAAGCCCUGGGCUCAACCUGGGAAUUGCAGUGGAUACUGGGUCACUAGAGUGUGGUAGAGGAUAGUGGAAUUUCCGGUGUAGCAGUGAAAUGCGUAGAGAUCGGAAGGAACAUCUGUGGCGAAGGCGACUAUCUGGGCCAACACUGACACUGAGGCACGAAAGCGUGGGGAGCAAACAGGAUUAGAUAACCCCGUAGUCCCUGUCUCUUAUAC